GGUCUGGAGGCUAUCAGGCACCCAGGUGGGCCAGGUCUAGCCUAGUGUCCAUGCGAGGGUCCUCAGCUCCCUGAGGCUCCCAGGAUCCGGGGUCCCCAAGGAAACUGGGAGCCAGGCUCCACUGGCCUGGCGCUGCCAUCUCUGGGAGGACAGACAUUCAUCAGGGGUGGCUGGAUAAUUAAAGACACUAAAAAAUGCAUCACCAAAGGUUUAUCACAAACUUGAUUGGCAAGAGAAGCCCCGGAGCUUACAGGGGGCUGAAAAUGAAGUGCUCUCAGGUACUCGCACCUGUGUUCUUUGGAACACCAGAGCAGAGCGAUGGUCCUUGGGGAGAGUGCCAGAGAAGUACCAAGUCUCAUCCCGGACCUGGAAGCCAGGAGCCCCACGGAGCAAGCUUUGUGGAAGGGUCCAGGGAGAUAAAGUGCAUGAAUGUGCCACCAGGUGCCUCUGCCAGGCUGGGGGUCCCCUCACCUCUCCAGAGUCUGCAGUGCUUUCCGGUGCAACUCAUCUUGCUUGGAUUUCAGAGUCGCUGGGAGAGACAAGACAGAGACAGAGCCAUGAGGGCAUGCUGAAGGGCUGCAGGCCCAGCCCUGCCCCAGCCCGGGGGGCACAAGCUCUGCAGGGAGAGGCCCGAUGAGGGCCCUAUCUGGCAAAUCCUGCACUCCAUUAGCUCUGCCCUGCUGCCACCCACCACCCUAGUCACCGGCGGAGGGUGUGGGGCGUCCGCUUGGCCCCAGCCUCCCUUCAUGUGAUCCGCACACCAGCUCCCUCCACUUCUUCACUUUCUUUGCCACCUGAGCCUGGAGAGACAGGCUCCACGGGCUGAUGCCUGCCUCCUGGGGCUUCCUUACCCACAGGGCUCUUCUUUUUAAACCAUUUUUAACAAAUUUUCAGUGUUAAAAUUUAAGGGCAGGGGCGCCUGGGUGGCUCAG